rnacentral:tRNA from 1 species
GGUGCUGUGGCUUAGUUGGUCAAAGUGCCUGUCUAGUAAACAGGAGAUCCUGGGUUUAAAUCCCAGCAGUGACU